UAUAGCAGCAAGGGCGCCAUUUUUAUAACAAGCAUACAAUAACGCGGUGAAAGUUAAACAAGUGACGUCAAAAUCCCACAAUCGUGACAAAGGAGUUAAAUACAAACGCAAUGACAAGUGCUUUCUAUUGUUUCCAGCACUCUCGCUCUCAGCCUGUCAUCUAUUUAUUCACUCCUCAGGAGUACUUCAGGAGAGAAGUGAAGUCAAAAUGACAGCGAGGAUUUUCAGAUCUUAACUCCAAGCAACCACUAAGAAGCAAAUAAACUCAUUAUCGUAUGGUUUUUCUCUUCCGACCGGCACUUAUUCACAAGUUGGUGAAAGUGAGAUUGUUUUUACUGGCGCUGACGAUUUUCUCUUUGAUUUCGAGCAAGCAGACGAUAGACAGUCAUGGUCAAUCGUCGUCAUGGUAUUGAACUCAAUAUUACAUUUGCAAUCUCUACCAUGGCUCACGAGUUGCAGUUCAGUGGUCUUUGGAAAGUGUAAUCAUCAAUAACAUAGCACAUUUUAGUUUGGACCAAACUCCUCCGAAAUAACUCAGUGGAUUCUUUAAGCAUAAUACUAACCAUCGAUUCUUCAUGGAAAAUUAUGUAUCUCUUUAUACAUAGACAUUGUCUGCCAGUUUUGAUUGAAUCAUGAUAAUCUUGAAAGACCAUGCAGUGACCCUCACAAGUGCAUGAAGACACGAUCGAUCAUUAAUCUUACAGGGCAUGUUAUGGGGUGCCUAGUUG
rnacentral:misc_RNA from 1 species